rnacentral:rRNA from 1 species
UACGGGGGGAGCAAGCGUUGUUCGGAUUUACUGGGCGUAAAGAGCGCGCAGGCGGCCAAGUCAGUCGAAUGUGAAAGCCCCCGGCUUAACUGGGGAGGGUCAUUCGAUACUGCUCGGCUCGAAGACAGGAGAGGGAAGUGGAAUUCCCGGUGUAGUGGUGAAAUGCGUAGAUAUCGGGAGGAACACCAGUGGCGAAGGCGACUUUCUGGCCUGUUCUUGACGCUGAGGCGCGAAAGCUAGGGGAGCAAACGGG